UUCACUGACGUAAUAUUUUAGCAGCUUCACCAUGAAGGGCACUCCCUGAGGAAUGAUGGUCGACCUCUCACGACUCUCCCAGCUCGACUUUGGUAAACUCUAUCCAGCAAGCAGAAAUUUUCGUACAUUUACAGGCACAGCAGCUUUUAACAGGAUCAAUCCAAACAGACUUGCAGUAAUAACAGAAGACGCAAAUCUAUCGACGAUCUGUUUAAUGGAAAUGUCCAAACCUUCAUUUCCCAGAAUAUUCCCAGGAUAGAAUAUUUUUUGUUUUCAUUUUCCAAACCAUAACAGUUCAUCCAGUGAAUUGAAUUAUGUUUCCCUUCAUUCACAAAUAAAAAGGUCUGUAUAGAUGGAGUUGAAGUCAGUAAGUUGCAUUUGUCAGUAUUUGUUUGAUAUGCAAGGCAAAAUAUGUUGCAUAUUAGGUUGUAUUGCACCUGAUUCCUUCCAGAGCAUUGAAAACACUUCCUCUAAUUACUGUACCUCAAUGUUUUGG